AACUGUCGAACUGCCGUUGAUACUGUAGGUCUUGAGUAAAUUUGAAGUGGCUGGAAUAAGUAGUGUACCGGUGAAAUGCAUAGAUAUUACUUAGAACACCAAUUGCGAAGGCAGGUCACCUAAGAUUUAACUGACGCUGAUGGACGAAAGCGUGGGGAGCGAACAGGAUUAGAUACCCUGGUAGUCCACGCCGUAAACGAUGCUAACUCGUUUUUGGGUCUUCGGAUUCAGAGACCAAGCGAAAGUGAUAAGUUAGCCACCUGGGGAGUACGAACGCAAGUUUGAAACUCAAAGGAAUUGACGGGGGCCCGCACAAGCGGUGGAUUAUGUGGUUUAAUUCGAUGAUACGCGAGGAACCUUACCAAGACUUAAAUGAGAAAUGACAGAUUUAGAAAUAGAUCCUUCUUCGGACGUUUUUCAAGGUGCUGCAUGGUUGUCGUCAGCUCGUGCCGUGAGGUGUUAGGUUAAGUCCUGCAACGAGCGCAACCCCUGUCACUAGUUGCUAACAUUUAGUUGAGGACUCUAGUGAGACUGCCUACGCAAGUAGAGAGGAAGGUGGGGAUGACGUCAAAUCAUCACGGCCCUUACGUCUUGGGCCACACACGUAAUACAAUGGCCGGUACAGAGGGCAGCUACACAGCGAUGUGAUGCAAAUCUCGAAAGCCCGGUCUCAGUUGGAUGGAGUCUGCACUGAACUUAUGAAGUGGAUGUAGUAAUCGCGCAUCAGCCAUGGCGCGGUGAAUACGUUCCCGGGCUUGCACACACCGCCCGUC
rnacentral:rRNA from 1 species